rnacentral:lncRNA from 1 species
GGAGGUUAACCAAAUUAUUAACUCUUUAGAAUAAUUUAUUAUUAAUGAUGUGCUAGCAAAAACAAUUAUUGCAAUUAAAAUCUAAUAUGCCACAAUUGUAAUAAAGAAUUUAAUUAAUUAUAUAUUACUAACAAAAAAAAUUAAUACUUCUUUGGAUUGUUAGCAAUAUAUCAUAUAAAUAAACAAUAAAUCUAUUAAUUCAAUUAAUGGAAAAUCUUAAAGGGAAUAAUAUACAUGCAUAUUAUUCGGCAUCCAAAUAA